rnacentral:rRNA from 1 species
ACUCCUACGGGAGGCAGCAGUGAGGAAUAUUGGUCAAUGGACGCAAGUCUGAACCAGCCAUGUCGCGUGCAGGAAGACUGCCCUAUGGGUUGUAAACUGCUUUUAUACGGGAAGAAAUAUAGCUACGUGUAGUUAUUUGCCGGUACCGUAUGAAUAAGCAUCGGCUAACUCCGUGCCAGCAGCCGCGGUAAUACGGAGGAUGCGAGCGUUAUCCGGAUUCAUUGGGGUUUAAAGGGUGCGUAGGCGGAAGUAUAAGUCAGGGGUGAAAGUUUGUGGCUCAACCAUAAAAUUGCCUUUGAUACUGUAUUUCUUGAGUACAUUUGAGGUAGGCGGAAUGUGUUGUGUAGCGGUGAAAUGCUUAGAUAUAACACAGAACACCGAUUGCGAAGGCAGCUUACUAAACUGUAACUGACGCUGAUGCACGAAAGCGUGGGGAUCGAACAGGAUUAGAUACCCUGGUAGCACAGAG